rnacentral:rRNA from 1 species
UACGAAGGGGGCUAGCGUUGCUCGGAAUCACUGGGCGUAAAGGGUGCGUAGGCGGGGCUUUAAGUCAGGGGGGAAAUCCUGGAGCUCAACUCCAGAACUGCCUUUGAUACUGAGGAUCUUGAGUUCGAGAGAGGUGAGUGGAACUGCGAGUGUAGAGGUGAAAUUCGUAGAUAUUCGCAAGAACACCAGUGGCGAAGGCGGCUCACUGGCCCGAUACUGACGCUGAGGCACGAAAGCGUGGGGAGCAAACAGG